CCUACGGGGGGCAGCAGUGGGGAAUAUUGCACAAUGGGCGCAAGCCUGAUGCAGCCAUGCCGCGUGUGUGAAGAAGGCCUUCGGGUUGUAAAGCACUUUCAGCGGGGAGGAAGGCGUUAAGGUUAAUAACCUUGGCGAUUGACGUUACCCGCAGAAGAAGCCCCGGCUAACUCCGUGCCAGCAGCCGCGGUAAUACGGAGGGUGCAAGCGUUAAUCGGAAUUACUGGGCGUAAAGCGCACGCAGGCGGUCUGUCAAGUCGGAUGUGAAAUCCCCGGGCUCAACCUGGGAACUGCAUUCGAAACUGGGAGGCUAGAGUGUUGUAGAGGGGGGUAGAAUUCCAGGUGUAGCGGUGAAAUGCGUAGAGAUCUGGAGGAAUACCGGUGGCGAAGGCGGCCCCCUGGACAAAGACUGACGCUCAGGUGCGAAAGCGUGGGGAGCAAACAGGAUUAGAUACCCCUGUAGUC
rnacentral:rRNA from 1 species